GACGAACGCUGGCGGCGUGCUUAACACAUGCAAGUCGAACGGAAAGGCCCUGCUCGUGUGGGGUGCGCGAGGGGCGAACGGGUGUGUAACACGAGUGUAACCUGCCCUUGACUUUGGGAUAUCUUCAGAAAACUGGGGCUAAUCCCGGAUAGGCGCUCCCGCCGCAGGGUGGGGGUUGGAAAGUUUCGGCGGUUGGGGAGGGACUCGCGGCUUUUCAGCUUGUUGGUGGGGUAGGGGCUUACCAAGGCUUUGGCGGGUAGCCGGCUUGAGAGGGGGCCCGGCCACAUUGGGACUGAGAUCCGGCCCGGCCCCCUCCGGGAGGAAGCAGUGGGGAAUAUUGCACAAUGGGCGGAGCCCUGAUGCGCCAACGCCGCGUGGGGGAUGCCGGCCUUCGGUUUGUAACCCGCUUCCGCCUGUGCCGAGGUGUGUGUGACGGUAAUGGGUAAAGAAGCACCGGCUAACUACGUG
rnacentral:rRNA from 1 species